UACGUAGGGGGCAAGCGUUGUCCGGAAUUAUUGGGCGUAAAGAGCGCGUAGGCGGUCUGUUAAGUGUAGAGUGAAAGCUCCGGGCUCAACCCGGAAACCGCUCUGCAUACUGGCAGACUGGAGGGACGCAGAGGUCUGUGGAAUUCCUGGUGUAACGGUGAAAUGUGUUGAUAUCAGGAGGAACACCCAUGGCGAAGGCAGCAGACUGGGCGUUUCCUGACGCUGAGGCGCGAAAGCGUGGGUAGCAAACAGG
rnacentral:rRNA from 1 species